rnacentral:sRNA from 1 species
AGGGUCUGUAGAUCUGUUAUUCGUUGCAACACCGUUUCAUUCUUCCUCUUAGAUACAAUUUUUCAUUUUUUUCAUUUUUUCAUUUUUUUUUCAAUUUCCUUUUUUCCUUUCCAGGUUAACCGAGGGCACAAAUUCUCACGAUCAUAGUAAACGGGGUUUGUACUGGUAUGGCUCUUUAUAUAUCAAUCAACCGGAUGGAGCCAAAGCUUAAACCACUAGUCCUAUCCUCCGAAACAAGGCCAGAGAAUAAUCGUGAUAUAUACCACCGAACACUGCCAUAGGAGUAUCGUGGCAUCCAUGGAUAUCAUGGAUGGAUCUCGUGAUAAGUACUGAUUCUAGGCUGCUCGUGGGCUGUCACCAGAGAGUUGGAGUUAUGUAGCUCUUUGAAUUCUAUACUUCUAUUAGUCAG